rnacentral:lncRNA from 1 species
CCCCCAUCCUUGCCUAAACUCUAGAUAUGGUCUCUACAUGUUCUAUCUCCCCUUUGUUGGGUAUUUCAGCCUAUCUCAUCCCCCUUUGGUCCUGGGAGCCUCUUGCUUUCCUGGCAUCUGGGAAUUGCUGGUGGCUAUAUCUAGUUCCCAAUCCCCCAUUGCUACUAAAUACCACUGUUCAAUUUCCUGGCACUCUGUAUAUCACCCCUGCCUCCUCCCAUACCUGAUCCCAUCCCCAAUUCUCCCUUCCCUUCCUCUUUUCCUCCGAAGUCUCUCCCACACUACUUCACAAGAGUAUUUUGUUCCCCCUUCUACACAUUUCAGUAUUCAUUCUUCUUGACCUACAUAUGGUCUAUGAAUUGUAAUUUGGGUAUUCCAAGCUUUUGAACAAAUAUCAACCUAUCAAUCAGUGCAUACCAUGUGUGCUGUUUUGAGACUGGGUCACUUCACUCAGGAUAUUUUCUAGUUCCAUCCAUUUGCCUAAGAAUUUAUGAAGUCAUUAUUUUAAUUAGCUGAGAAGUAUUACAUUGUGGAAAGGUACUACAUUUUCUAUAUCCAUUCCUCUGUUGAAGGACACCUGGGUUCUUUCCAGCAUCUGGAUAUUAUAAAUAAGGCUGCUAUGAACAUAGUAGAACAUUUGUUCUUGUUAUAUGUCUUUUGGGUAUAUGCCCUGUAGUAGUAUAGUUGUAUCUUCAGGUCCAAUUUUCUGAAUUCAAUUAUCUGAGUAACUGCCAGACUGAUUUCCAGAGUGGUUGUACUAGGUUGCAAUCCUACCAACAGUAGAGGAAGGUUCUUCCUUCUCCACAUCCUCACCAGCAUCUUCUAUGUCCAGAAUUUUCGAUCUUAGCCAUUAUGACUAUUGUAAGGUAGAAUCUCAGGGAUGUUUUGAUUUGCAUUUUCCCAAUGAUUAAGGAUGAUGAACAUUUCUUUAGGUGCUUCUCAGCCACUUGAGACUCCUCAUUUGAGAUUUUUUUUUUGUUUGUUUUAGUUCUGUACUCCAUUUAUAAUAUGGUUAUUUGGUUCUUUGGAAUCUAAUUGGUUGAGUUGUUUGGAUAUUAGCCUGCUAUUGGAUAUAGGUUUGGUAAAGAUCUUUUACCAAUCUGUAGGUUGCCAUUUUAUCCUGUUGACCGUGUUCUUUGCCUAAAUAAAAUAAAAUAAAUAAAUAAAAAUAAACCUUUCAAUUUUAUGAGAUCCCAUUUGUCUAUAGUUGAACUUACAGCCUGAGCCAUGGGUGUACUAUUCAGGAAAUUUUCACAUGUGCCAUUGUGUUCAAGGCUCUUUCCCACUUUCUUUUCUAUUUGAUUCAGUGUGUCUGGUUUUAUAUGGAGGUCCUUGAUCCACUGGGACUAGAGGUUAGUACAAUGAGAUAGGAAUUGAUCAGUUUGCAUUUGUCUACAUGGCAUGACCAUAGGUGUGUGGGUUUAAUUCCGGGUUUUCAAUUUCAUUCCAUUCAUCUACCUGUAUGUCUUUGAACCAAUAUCAUGAGGUUUUUUUGUUUUUUGUUUUUUUUGUUUUUAUCACCAUCACACUGUAGUGCAGUUUGUGGUCAAGAGUGUUUAUUCUCCCAGGAGUUCUCUUAUUGGUGGGAAUAAGAAUAGUUUUCGAUACCCUGCGUUUUCUGCUAUUACAGAUAAAUUUAAGAAUUGCUCUUUCUAUAUCUGUGAAGAAUUGAGUUGCAAUUUUGAUGGGGAUUGCAUUGAAUCUGUGUAUUGCUUUUGGUAAGAUGGCCAUUGUUUCUAUGUUAAUGCUGCCAAUCAAUGAGAAUGGGAGAUCUUUCUGUCUUCUGAGAGCUUUUUCAAUUUCUUUCUUUAGAGACUUGAACUUCUUUACUUACAGAUCUUUCACUUGCUUGGUUAGAGUCAUACCAAGAUAUUUCAUAUUAUUUGUGACUAUUUUGAAGGAUUUCAUUUCCGUAAUUUCUUCCUCAGACUAUUUAUCCUUCGAGUAGAGGAAGGCUACUGAUUGAAAAAUUUUAUAUCCAGCCACUUUGCUGAAGUUGUUUAUCUGCUGUAGGAAUUCUCUGAUGCAAUUUUUGGAGUCACUUAAGUACAAUAUCAUAUAACCUGCACAGAAUUAUAUCAUGACUUCUUCCUUUCUGAUAUGUGUCAUUUUGAACUCAUUUGGUGGCUAAUUGCCCUGGGUAGAACUUCCAGUACAAUACUGCAUGUGUAGGGAGAGAGUAGGCAGCCUUGUUUAAUCCUAGAUUUUAGUGUCAUUGCUUCAAGUUUCACUCCAUUUUGUUUGAUGCUGGCUAUUGGUUUGUUGUGUAUGGUAAGUAUGUUUAGGUAUGGGCCUUUAAUUACUGAUAUUUCCAAGACUUUUUACAUGAAGGGUUGUUGUAUUUUGUCAAAUGAUUUUUCAGCAUCUAAAGAUUUGACCAUGUGGGUUUUUUUCUUUGAGUUCCUUUAUAUAGUAGAUUAUAUUGAUACAUUUCCAUAUAUUGAAUCAUCCCUGCAUCCCUGAGAUAAAGUCUACUUGAUCAUGGUGAAUGAUCGUUUUGAUGUGUUCUUGGAUUUGGUUUGUGAGAAUUUUAUUGAGGUUUUUAUUGCAUGAAUAUUCAUAAGCAAAAUUGGUCUGAAGUUUUCCUGCUUUGUUCAGUUGUUGUGUGUUUUUGGUAUCAGCAUAACUGUACCUUCAUAAAACGAAUGGGGUGGUGUCCCUUCUGUUUCUAUUUUGUGAAAUAAUUUGAAUAGUAUUGGUAUUAGGUCUUCUUUGAAGGUCUGAUAGAAUUCUACACUAAAAUAAUCUGCGCGGAUUUUUGUUGUUGUUUGGAGAUGUUUAAUGACUGCUUCUAUUUCUUUAGGGUUUAUGAGACUAUUUAGAUGAUUUAUCUUACUCUGAUUUCAAUUUGGUAGCUGGCAUCUGUAUAGAAAUUGUCCAUUUUAUCCAUAUUUUCAAGUUUUCUUGAGUAUAGUCUUUUGUAGUAGGAUCUCAUGAUUUUUUAAAUUUUCUCUGUGCUCUAUAGUUAGUUUGACUAAAGGUUUAUCUAUUUUGUUCAUUUUCUCAAAAACAACAACAACAACAACAACAAAAAACAGCUCCUAGUUGUGUUAAUUCUUUGUAUAAUUCUCUGUAGGCUUAUUGAUCGUGUUCUGCUCCUUGGGGAAGAACGAUACAUGAGUUGACCAUGCUUACAAAAGAUUGUCUCUGGCUGGGUGUGGGAAAUGCCUUAAGG